rnacentral:rRNA from 1 species
AUGGUGAUCUCAAUGAGGGAAGUGGAUCCUGUCUUCAAAGGGGCAGGCCAAAAGGAUGGACUGGAGAUAUGGCGAAUCGAAAAGUUGCAGGCUGUUCCUGUUCCCAGGGAAUCACAUGGCAAAUUUUUCACAGGAGAUUCUUAUAUAAUACUAAAGACGUCGGCCCUCAAAAAUGGUUCUUUUUGUCAAGAGAUCCACUAUUGGCUUGGGAAAGAUACCCGUCAGGAUGAAGCUGGUAUAGCUGCGAUCAAGACUGUGGAACUGGAUGCUGCUCUUGGUGGACGUGCUGUACAAUACCGUGAAGUGCAAGGAAACGAGACUGAAAAAUUUCUUUCAUACUUUAAACCUUGUAUCAUACCAGAGGAAGGUGGAGCUGCAUCUGGUUUUAGACAGGCUGUAGUCAAUGAGCGGGAGUAUGUGCCACGAUUAUUUGUCUGCAAAGGAAAACACACGGUUCAGGUCGAAGAGGUUCCUUUUGCACGGGCAUCACUGAACCAUGAUGACAUACUUAUUUUGGAUACUAACUCAAAGAUAUUCCAAUUCAAUGGAUCGAAUUCGAGUAUUCAAGAGAGGGCUAAAGCCCUAGAGGUUGUGCAAUACCUCAAAGACGCCAACCAUGAAGGAACAUGCGAUGUGGCUGUGGUUGAUGAUGGAAAGUUGAUGGCAGACGCUGAUGCUGGUGAGUUUUGGGGUCUCUUUGGUGGAUUUGCUCCUCUGCCAAAAAAGACAUUUUCUGACCCCGAUGGAAACGAUGAUGCUUUCCCUUCAAAGCUGCUCUGUGUAAAUGAGGGCCAGACAUUUCCCUUGGAUUGUGAAGAUCUAACAAGAGCGCUGCUAGAUUCAACAAAAUGCUACUUUCUGGACUGUGGAUCUGAACUUUAUGUCUGGAUGGGUAGAGAAACAGUACUUGAAGAUAGGAAACGAGCAGGAUUGGCCGCUGAGGAGUUGCUCCGUGAGGGAAAUCGACCAAGAUGUCACAUCAUUCGUCUCAUGGAAGGAUUCGAGACGGUUAUAUUCCGGUCGAAGUUCAGUAAAUGGCCCAAGAAGGUUGAGACAGUUGUGUCAGAUGAAAGCAGAGGAAAAGUUGCAGCCAUUCUGAAGCGCCAAGGAAUUAACGUUAGGGGUGUGGCAAAAGCUGCUCCUUUGAAGGAAGAGUCUCAAGCUCACAUUGACUGCACAGGAAACUUACAGGUUUGGCGUGUAAAUGACUGUGAAAAGACGUUCCUUUCAUUCUAUGAACAAUGCAAGUUCUACAGUGGAGAUUGCUAUAUCUUCCAAUAUAGCUACCGUGGUGAUGAUGGCGAGAAUUGUCUUAUCGGUACUUGGUUCGGCCAGAAGAGUAUUGAGGAGGAGAGGAGUGCAGCCACUUCCCUUGCUCAUGCGAUGGUUGAUUCACUGAAAUUCCAGGCAGUUCUGGUUCGCCUUUAUGAAGGAAAGGAGUCCAUGGAGUUCUUUACUAUAUUUCAAAACAUGGUUAUAUUCAAGGGUGGUGCUAGUACUGGAUACAAGAAAUAUGUCUCAGAAAAUGCCACUGAGGAUGAUACAUAUUCAGAUAACGGUGUUGCACUUUUCCGGGUUCAAGGUUCAGGACCGGAGAAUAUGCAAGCGAUUCAAGUUGACACGGCAGCAGCAUCGCUGAACUCUUCUUAUUGUUACAUACUACAUGAUGGAGACACGCUAUUUACUUGGGUUGGGAACCUAAGCUCCUCAAUGGACCACGGGCUUGCUGAGAGGCAGCUAGAUGUGCUCAAGCCAAAUCUCCAGUCAAGAUUGCUCAAGGAAGGAUCAGAAUCUGAUCAAUUUUGGAAGUUACUUGGAAGCAAGUGUGAAUACCCAAGGCAGAAGAUUGUGAGAGAUCAAGAAAGUGACUCUCGUUUGUUCUCUUGUACCUUUUCAAACGAAAUUAAUGGUGGUCUACUGAUGUUGCAGGCUAGAGAGGUAUUCAAUUUUACGCAAGAUGAUAUGAUGACAGAGGAGAUAUAUAUUUUAGACUGUCAUUCAUCUGUCUUUAUAUGGGUUGGACAACAUGUGGACACAAAUAUACGAGCACAUGCUUUGAUGAUUGGAGAGAAAUUUCUUGAACUUGACAUUCUCAUGGAAAACUUGUCACGAGAAACGCCACUUUAUGUUAUCACUCAAGGAAGCGAGCCCCAAUUUUUCACAAGGUUCUUCUUCACUUGGGACUCUGCAAAAUCAGCUAUGCAUGGUAACUCAUUUGAACGGAGGCUUUCUAUAGUGAAGAAUGGAGUAAAACUAAUAAGAGAUAAGCCUAAAAGAAGGCCGACAACAUCAUCACACACUGGAAGAUGCAUUGUACCUGAUAAACCUCAGAGGAGAACUACGUCUUCCAGUCCUGACCAUGCAAGAGUUAGAGGAAGAUCGCCAUCAUUCACUGCAUUGGCUGCCAACUUUGAGAACCCAAAUGCCCGGAAUCUGUCAACUCCACCUGUUGCUACAAAGCCGUCUCCAAGGACAACUCCAAGGACUUCCCCUGAACCUGGGAAGCCACCCCUAAGGGCUGAUUCAAUCGCCGCAAUCUCCGCUUUGUUCGAGCAGCCUAGACCAAAUCUGAUACCAAAGUCAAGGAAAGGUCGUGCUGUAAACAAACACCAGCCUGAAGCAAGCAAACCUGAACCAGAGGCAAAUGCCAAGGAGACCGCCCCUGGUGAGGAGGAUGGGCAGACUCUCACUCCGGCGAAACAGGAAGAUGAAAAGGAGGGUCAGCCGGAAGAUGUGGAAGGGCUCCCUGAGUACCCAUAUGAUCGCCUGAGGACAUCUUCCACCGAUCCUGUCACAGCCAUUGACCAAUCCAGGCGCGAGGUGUACCUGUCUUCGGCGGAGUUCAGGGAGAAAUUUGGGAUGACCAAGGAGGCUUUUGCCCAGCUGCCAAAGUGGAAGCAGACUAGGCUCAAGAUCACGCUCCAGCUGUUCUGA